UACGUAGGGUGCAAGCGUUGUCCGGAAUUAUUGGGCGUAAAGAGCUCGUAGGCGGUCUGUCGCGUCUGCUGUGAAAACUCGGGGCUUAACCCCGGGCCUGCAGUGGGUACGGGCAGACUAGAGUGCGGUAGGGGAGACUGGAAUUCCUGGUGUAGCGGUGAAAUGCGCAGAUAUCAGGAGGAACACCGGUGGCGAAGGCGGGUCUCUGGGCAACAACUGACGCUGAGGAGCGAAAGCGUGGGGAGCGAACAGG
rnacentral:rRNA from 1 species